rnacentral:rRNA from 1 species
UACGUAGGGUGCAGGCGCUAAUCGGAAUUACUGGGCGUAAAGCGUGCGCAGGCGGUUUCUUAAGUCAGAUGUGAAAGCCCCGGGCUUAACCUGGGAACUGCGUUUGAAACUGGGAGACUUGAGUGUGGCAGAGGGGGGUGGAAUUCCACGUGUAGCAGUGAAAUGCGUAGAUAUGUGGAGGAACACCGAUGGCGAAGGCAGCCCCCUGGGAUAACACUGACGCUCAUGCACGAAAGCGUGGGGAGCAAACAGG